GACGAACGCUGGCGGCGUGCUUAACACAUGCAAGUCGAACGGAAAGGCCCUGCUUUUGUUGGGUGCUCGAGUGGCGAACGGGUGAGUAACACGUGAGUAACCUGCCCUUGACUUUGGGAUAACUUCAGGAAACUGGGGCUAAUACCGGAUAUGAGCUCCUGCUGCAUGGUGGGGGUUGGAAAGUUUCGGCGGUUGGGGAUGGACUCGCGGCUUAUCAGCUUGUUGGUGGGGUAGUGGCUUACCAAGGGUUUGACGGGUAGGCGGCCUGAGAGGGUGACCGGCCACAUUGGGACUGAGGUACGGCCCAGACGGCAACGGGAGGCAGCAGUGGGGAAUAUUGCAGAAUGGGCGGAAGCGUGAUGCAGAAACGCCGCGUGCGGGAUGACGGCCUUCGGGGUGUAAACCGAUUUCGCAUGUGACGAAGCGUGAGUGACGGUAAUGGGUAAAGAAGCACCGGCUAACUACGUG
rnacentral:rRNA from 1 species